ACGCUCGACACCUACGGCAGGCAGCAGUGGGGAAUAUUGCACAAUGGGGGAAACCCUGAUGCAGCAACGCCGCGUGAAGGAAGACGGUUUUCGGAUUGUAAACUUCUGUUCUUAGUGAAGAUAGUGACGGUAGCUAAGGAGCAAGCCACGGCUAACUACGUGCCAGCAGCCGCGGUAAUCUGAGCGGGCUGGCAAGGC
rnacentral:rRNA from 1 species